GAUGAACGCUGGCGGCGUGCCUAAUACAUGCAAGUCGAGCGAACAGACGAGGAGCUUGCUCCUCUGACGUUAGCGGCGGACGGGUUAGUAACACGUGGAUAACCUACCUAUAAGACUGGGAUAACUUCGGGAACCCGGAGCUAAUACCGGAUAAUAUAUUGAACCGCAUGGUUCAAUAGUUAAAGACGGUUUUGCUGUCACUUAUAGAUGGAUCCGCGCCUCAUUAGCUAGUUGGUAAGGUAACGGCUUACCAAGGCAACGAUGCGUAGCCGACCUGAGAGGGUGAUCGGCCACACUGGAACUGAGACACGGUCCAGACUCCUACGGGAGGCAGCAGUAGGGAAUCUUCCGCAAUGGGCGAAAGCUUGACGGAGCAACGCCGCGUGAGUGAUGAAGGUCUUCGGAUCGUAAAACUCUGUUAUUAGGGAAGAACAAAUGUGUAAGUAACUAUGCACGUCUUGACGGUACCUAAUCAGAAAGCCACGGCUAACUACGUG
rnacentral:rRNA from 1 species